rfam:Daphnia magna strain Xinb3 scaffold01581, whole genome shotgun sequence.
CAAUCGGCCCUUUUCAGGGCCACAAUAUAAUAUUGAAAAGUCUUUCU